AAUGUCAAUUGGAUAAGAAGGAAAUUAAAAGAACUUCAAUUGCGUUGAAUUGGGGAGUAGUGGGGGAAAAAAAGGUGGUGUCAAAUAGAGGUCAAAUCUAAUAAUAUUUCGUGUUUUGAUAGGUUUUGAAAUGCAAGCCAUACACUUUGGACUUGUAAACGUAUGCAACACGUCCACCCAAACAAGGGUGCACUCAAAAGAGAUUGAUGUUUGGGCAUAGCAUUGCAAGGAAAAAAAAAAAAAAACAAGAAAUCAUCUAUAGUACUUCACUUGCUUGUGAAUUUUUCCCUCUGUUUUGAAAUCUCCCUCAUGCCAUCAAUCUUUCUUUUCUUUUCUUGUAAAUUGUAAAUAGUAGUAUAGUGGUAAAAGUUAUAAAUAGGUGGGAGGGUCUUUUAAAUUUUUGCAAAGUCAUGAAUAGACUUUUUACUCCACAGCAUCAAUUGGUACUGAAAAAUGAAUGAGCCAAAAGACAAUUUGUGAUAGCCCCUUUUCACUUGUUUACUUGAUUGCUUCACCCAUGGGUCUUUAAAGAUUUGGCCACUCCAAGACUCCAAGCUUUAACUCUUCUUGUCCCUCCUUACUUUAAUUCUGUCUCUCUUUAUUCACCCACCCCCCCACCCCCACCCCCAAUUCUUAACACCCCCCUUCCAUCUUUUUCCAGCUAUAAAUACUUGAGCUACCCCAAGCUUCUUUGUCACUACCAAGUUCAAAAUGAAUAAUUCCCUCUCCUCAAGAAAAUAUUUCAUCUUUUUGUUUGUUUGUUUGUUGAAGUUGUAGAGUUAACUUUCGUUAUGAAAAUGUUGGAUUAAUUGGGCUUUCUGGAGAAUUGACAGUGGGAGUUUCUUUGUAGAAUGAAGGAAACCUAUAGACCUAUAAUAAGUUUUUCUUGUCAUGCUCUUUUUAGGUGACAAUGAAGGGAGAUGGACCAAACGUGGAUCUGGCUAGUGGUCCUACGCAGUAUGGUUUAAAGCAGUUUGUCUAUCUUUGCUACCCAUUAUGUUCUGCCUCUCCUUAAUAUGGCAUUUGGCAAUUAGUUUGAGUACAUUUACCCUGAAGAAGUCUUGCAUUUUUGCAUCUUCUAUUUGUAACAUGAUAAUGUAAAUUUUUCUUAAUAUCUCAAUAAUACGUUCCUUAUAUGUAAGGACAUUCCAAUUUA